rnacentral:rRNA from 1 species
ACUAGUGAUUAGAGUUUGAUCAUGGCUCAGGACGAACGCUGGCGGCGUGCCUAAUACAUGCAAGUCGAGCGAACCAAUAGAAAAGCUUGCUUUUCUUGAGGUUAGCGGCGGACGGGUGAGUAACACGUGGGCAACCUGCCUGUAAGACUGGGAUAACUUACGGAAACGUGAGCUAAUACCGGAUGGUUUCACUUCUACACAUGAGAAGUGAAGGAAAGAUGGCGUCACGCUAUCACUUACAGAUGGGCCCGCGGCGCAUUAGCUAGUUGGUGGGGUAAUGGCCUACCAAGGCGACGAUGCGUASCGACCUGAGAGGGUGAUCGACCACACUGGGACUGAGACACGGCCCAGACUCCUACGGGAGGCAGCAGUAGGGAAUCUUCCGCAAUGGACGAAAGUCUGACGGAGCAACGCCGCGUGAGCAUGAAGGUCUUCGGAUCGUAAAGCUCUGUUGUUAGGGAAGAACAAGUACCGGAGUAACUGUCGGUACUUUGACGGUACCUAACCAGAAAGCCACGGCUAACUACGUGCCAGCAGCCGCGGUAAUACGUAGGUGGCAAGCGUUGUCCGGAAUUAUUGGGCGUAAAGCGCGCGCAGGCGGUCCUUUAAGUCUGAUGUGAAAUCUUGCGGCUCAACCGCAAGCGGUCAUUGGAAACUGGGGGACUUGAGUGCAGGAGAGGAAAGCGGAAUUCCAUGUGUAGCGGUGAAAUGCGUAGAGAUAUGGAGGAACACCAGUGGCGAAGGCGGCUUUCUGGCCUGUAACUGACGCUGAGGCGCGAAAGSUGGGGGAGCAAACAGGAUUAGAUACCCUGGUAGUCCACGCCGUAAACGAUGAGUGCUAAGUGUUGGAGGGUUUCCSCCCUUCAGUGCUGCAGCAAACSCAUUAAGCACUCCSCCUGGGGAGUACGGUCSCAAGAUGAAACUCAAAGGAAUUGACGGGGACCCCACA